CGAAAUAAACGUACUCAUUCGGAUUGUAGUCUGCAACUCGACUACAUGAAGCUGGAAUCGCUAGUAAUCGCGAAUCAGAAUGUCGCGGUGAAUACGUUCCCGGGUCUUGUACACACCGCCCGUCACACCAUGGGAGUCAGUAACGCCCGAAGUCAGUGACCCAACCAAUCAGGAGGGAGCUGCCGAAGGUGGGACCGAUAACUGGGGUGAAGUCGUAACAAGGUAUC
rnacentral:rRNA from 1 species